UACGUAGGGCGCAAGCGUUGUCCGGAAUUAUUGGGCGUAAAGAGCUCGUAGGCGGUCUGUCGCGUCGGAUGUGAAAGCCCGGGGCUUAACCCCGGGUCUGCAUUCGAUACGGGCAGACUAGAGUGUGGUAGGGGAGAUCGGAAUUCCUGGUGUAGCGGUGAAAUGCGUAGAUAUCUGGAGGAACACCGGUGGCGAAGGCGGCAUCCUGGACCAACACUGACGCUGAGGAGCGAAAGCCAGGGGAGCAAACGGG
rnacentral:rRNA from 1 species